CCUGCUCCUAGAAGCAUUGUAGGUGUGGCUGCUGUGUCAUGUGUGUGUCAGGCGGCAGAGAGGACAGGGUAUAUCUGUGCCUAGUGUUGACUGUGAACAUCCGAGAAGCUUAACAUUUCCUGAAAAA
rnacentral:snoRNA from 14 species